UACGAAGGGUGCAAGCGUUACUCGGAAUUACUGGGCGUAAAGCGUGCGUAGGUGGUUUGUUAAGUCUGAUGUGAAAGCCCUGGGCUCAACCUGGGAAUGGCAUUGGAUACUGGCGACCUAGAGUGCGGUAGAGGGGUGUGGAAUUCCCGGUGUAGCAGUGAAAUGCGUAGAUAUCGGGAGGAACAUCUGUGGCGAAGGCGACACCCUGGACCAGCACUGACACUGAGGCACGGAAGCGUGGGGAGCAAACAGG
rnacentral:rRNA from 1 species